CAGUAGCCGCGGUAAUACAGAGGGUGCGAGCGUUAAUCGGAUUUACUGGGCGUAAAGCGUGCGUAGGCGGCUAAUUGAGUCGGAUGUGAAAUCCCCGAGCUUAACUUGGGAAUUGCAUUCGAUACUGGUUAGCUAGAGUGUGGGAGAGGAUGGUAGAAUUCCAGGUGUAGCGGUGAAAUGCGUAGAGAUCUGGAGGAAUACCGAUGGCGAAGGCAGCCAUCUGGCCUAACACUGACGCUGAGGUACGAAAGCAUGGGGAGCAAACAGGAUUAGAUACCCGAGUAGUCCCUGUCUCUUAUAC
rnacentral:rRNA from 1 species